rnacentral:RNase_P_RNA from 1 species
ACAACUUGUAGUCCGCACUAGAGAUUAAUCCAUGGAUUAACCUUUAGGAAGGUCUGAGAAUGCCGAACAGUGUGAAAACACUGUUUCAGAAUCUUAGCGAUUCACUUCGUAAUCCGAAGUGCAAGUCGAGAGCAACGAUUUUGAAAUGAAUACAUUAGUUUUACGCAAGAGAUGGUUUUUCAUCUGAAAAGAAUGAGAUUACCUGAUGCUUUAUGACUGAUGUGUUCAGUGAAAUGAUUUGCGGCUAGCCAAUGUAUAACAGUACGAUGUGCGGAAUGGCAAAUAUGUAUUUGCCAUAACUGAAUUCAGACUACUCACGGGUUGU